rnacentral:rRNA from 1 species
UACAGAGGAGCCAAGCGUUGUCCGGAUUGACUGGGCGUAAAGCGCACGCAGGCGGAUACGCGCGUGGGGUGUGAAAUCUGGCCGCUUAACGGCCAGGCGCCAUCCCAUACGGCGUGUCUGGAGCUGUGCAGAGGUCGGUGGAAUUGCCGGUGUAGUGGUGAAAUGCGUAGAGAUCGGCAGGAACACCCAGGGGGAAACCAGCCGGCUGGGCACAUGCUGACGCUGAGGUGCGAGAGCGUGGGGAGCGAACCGG